CCUGUAAGGGGAGGACGGAAAUGGGCAGUCACUUGUCCCCUUCCUCCUCUUUCCCAGGACCUGGUCAGGCACUUCGAAGGCGCUCUAUCCACACCGGCUCUUCCAAGAAGCAUGGGGCCUUGCUCACUCUCCUGGGGGCUGGGCCCCUAGAGCCUCAGGAUUUGGGCUACAUGGGCACCUGGGCACCACUCCAGGGGCCUCUGUGUCAUUUCCUGGCUACCUUCAAGCACACAGAGGUUGUUAGGCGGGGCAGGCCUUUAGAGGCCCAGCCUUGCUGGGAACCCACAGAGCAUCGGAGGUAAGGUGACGACCUCUCACUGCCCCUCUGUUCUGGGCCAACACACUCAUUUCACAGAUGAAGAAACUGAGGCCCAGAGAAGGGAGUAGCAAGCCGUUCUGAUGUGACUUACGCCUCCAGCUGACAAACCAGUAGCCUUGAGUUCAAAUCCUGGAUCGGGCACUUGAUAACGGAAUGACCAUGGACAAGUUGCUUGCCCUCUCUGAGCCUCCAUUUCUGUGGAAAGUGGGACUCACACUACGAGUGUCUUCUUAGGGCCAUCGUGAGGCAAUCCGUGAGGUAACGCGGAGUGCCUGGCACCCAGGACGCGGAAUAAUACAGAAAAGAGUAGUUAACUACUGUCAUGGAACAAAGAGAGCAGGCCAGAAGAUUCUCGGAGGCCCCCAGCCCUACCUUUGCCCCCCAAGUCAAUAGGCGGAGAUUCCUGGCAAAGACAGCAACCUGGAAAUCAGGUGAGUAAGUGCUGGAACUCCACGAGAAAGGACUCCAAGCAUAAGAAAGGGCAGCAGCGUGAGACCUGAGUGAUCGUUGGUCUAUCCCAUUGGACUUUGGACACUUCAAGAAACUAUUAUCCCCGUUUUAACAAAUGUCACCACUAAGGCUGAGCGUAAACAGCUACUCGCAGUGGCAGAGCCAGUAAAGGACAGACUCAAGGGUUAAACACAGGACUUCACUGCCCAGAGCCCCACUGACUCUACUCUUCCAGGUUCGGGGGCCCGAUCGUGCGGAUUCGUGUUAAUUCAGCACAAAGUAACUGAACACCUGCUCCCCACACGACCCCUAUCCAGGCAUCGUCUACACACCAGAGAGAAGGAGAUGGCUGGGAAGGGCGACUGACACGGAACUCUUGACGUAAAUGUCUAAAAGAGAAAACGGAUUUUCUCUGCCAGCUCCCAACGCAGUUCUGAACGCGGACUCCACAGAGAGAACCCAAGAUGAACGGGCACGAAACAAAAAUGCGUCUGCAUUUUCACCAACCUCUAAGUGAAACUUAGCAUUCCUUUCCAUUAGGAAUGUGGCAACAAACCACUAUAAUAAGGGCAGGAUCAGGGACUCCGUGGCCGGCAGAAAUCGCCUACGUUUCCAUAUCAUACUGUAAUAGUACAGAUACCCCAAGCUCUCAGUUCACAUUUAUUACUCUUUCAGAAUUACGAUUUGCUGUCAAUCCUGCUGCUAGGCUUCACCACUGAAUGUUAAUAAAGAAGCGCAUCGCUCCUCUGUCA